GACAGAGGUGCCAAGCGUUAGGCGGAAUCACUGGGCUUGAAGAGUGCGUAGGCGGUUUCGUAAGUAGGGGGUGAAAGCCCUCGGCUCAACCGGGGAAUUGCGUCCUAAACUGCGAGGCUGGAGUGAGGUAGGGGUGUGCGGAACUUCCAGUGGAGCGGUGAAAUGUGUUGAUAUUGGAAGGAACGCCGGUGGCGAAAGCGGCACACUGGACCUUGUCUGACGCUGAGGCACGAAAGCCAGGGGAGCAAACGGG
rnacentral:rRNA from 1 species